UGGGGAAUAUUGCACAAUGGGCGCAAGCCUGAUGCAGCCAUGCCGCGUGUAUGAAGAAGGCCUUCGGGUUGUAAAGUACUUUCAGCGGGGAGGAAGGGAGUAAAGUUAAUACCUUUGCUCAUUGACGUUACCCGCAGAAGAAGCACCGGCUAACUCCGUGCCAGCAGCCGCGGUAAUACGGAGGGUGCAAGCGUUAAUCGGAAUUACUGGGCGUAAAGGGCACGCAGGCGGUUUGUUAAGUCAGAUGUGAAAUCCCCGGGCUCAACCUGGGAACUGCAUCUGCUACUGGCAAGCUUGAGUCUCGUAGAGGGGGGUAGAAUUCCAGGUGUGGCGGUGAAAUGCGUAGAGAUCUGGAAGAAUACCGGUGGCGAAGGCGGCCCCCUGGGCGAAGACUGACGCUCAGGUGCGAAAGCGUGAGGAGCAAACAGG
rnacentral:rRNA from 1 species